rnacentral:tRNA from 1 species
GGGGCAGUGGUGGAAUGGUAUACACGGCGGUCUUAAAAACCGCUUCCUUCGGGAUUGUGGGUUCGAAUCCCACCUGCCUCAUCA